rnacentral:rRNA from 1 species
UACGGAGGGAGCUAGCGUUGUUCGGAAUUACUGGGCGUAAAGCGCGCGUAGGCGGCUUUGUAAGUUAGAGGUGAAAGCCCGGGGCUCAACCCCGGAACUGCCUUUAAGACUGCAUCGCUUGAAUCCGGGAGAGGUGAGUGGAAUUCCGAGUGUAGAGGUGAAAAUUCGUAGAUAUUCGGAAGAACACCAGUGGCGAAGGCGGCUCACUGGACCGGCAUUGACGCUGAGGGUGCGAAAGCGUGGGGAGCAAAACGGG